ACUCUAGGUGACAUCCUGCCAGCAAAGUUCCGAUCUGGCUGACAACCUACCUUGUUUGCCUUUGUUGUGCUACCAAAACACACGCAGCUUGACGCUCCUGCAGGUCACCCUGUCCCCAAGUGCCUGGGAACCAACAGGUAUGUAAGUGUCUCCUCAAAGUCUCUUAUCAGCCAAAUUGAGGCAAGGAGGCAGAUACCCUCAUUUUCUCUAUUGGGGAGGGGCCCAUCUCCAAAGAGAUCCUUCCAGUGAAGUCAUCUUGGUCACGAUUUUCUCCCUUCCUUUAUAUUCCCAAAGUGUGUGAGAGAGGUGUUUAAGAGAAGGAGGAAAUCAGCUAGCAUGGUGGCCCAUGCCUGUAAUCCCAGCACUUUGGGAGGUCGAGGUGGGUGGAUUACCUGAGGUCAGGAGUUCAAGACCAGCCUGGUCAACAUGGUAAAGCCCCGUCUCUACUAAAAAUACAAAGAUUAGCUGGGUGUGGUGGCACGUGCCUGUAAUCCCAGCUACUCGGGAGGCUGAGGUGGGAGAAUCCCUUGAACCUGGGAGGUGGAGGUUGCAGUGAGCUGAGAUCAUGUCACUGCACUCCAGCCUGAGUGACAGAGUGAGACUCCAAAAAAAAAAAAAAUAAUAAUAAGCAGGAGGAAAUCAUCUCUCCUAAAUCUACUCUGAAGAUUCCCCCAGGAAGGAGGGCAAUCUCUCUCACACACACUUUGAUAUCUCAUUUUUACUUCAUCUUGGAGUCUUAGUGGAAACUUCAAUUUUAACAUACUGUAACAGAUUGCUACAUACAUUUUUGGUUGCUAGUAAAAACAAAACAACAAUUGAAACUGGCUUCCACAAUAACUGGAACUGGUUGGCUCACACAACUGGAAGGAUCUAGAGAUUGGGUGCUGUUUCUCUGUGAUUCCCUUACUCAGAUUGGGCAAAAUUGAACUUGACAAGGCCAAGUUUUUAUUCUGAGCCAAUCCCUAUUGCCAGGGGAGCAGCACGGGUCGCCAGGGGUAGGUGCCAUCCCUGCCCCAAUCGCUAUGGAAGAGUCAUGGUCAUCCUGAUUGAUCGGGUUAAACCUCUAGGGACUCAUUCCCGGAACUGGUGGUGAGAGUGGUGGAGAUGGACUCAACCUUAUCCAAAUCUCCUAGUUAGAUAACUAGGAAGUACGGUGAGAAUGUAGUUUAGGAAGCAACCACAACCACAAACUACGAGGUCAUCUUUUUCAAGCAUCUCAUUUUGUCCUCCCAUAAAUAUGAUGAUUUUGUGGUUAGCUGAGGUUUUGUUUUGUUUUUUAUUUUUUUGAGACAGGAUCUCAUUCUGUCACCCAGGCUGGAGUGCAAUAGCAUAAUCACAGCUUACUGCAGCCUCGACCUCCCAAGCCCAACCCAUCCUCCUGCCUCAGCCUCACAAGCAACUGGGACUACAGGGGCGCACCACCAUGCCUGGCUAAUUUUGAAAUCUUUGUAGAGACAGGGUCUCUCUAUGUUGCCCAGGUUGUUCUCAAACUCCUGGGCUCAAGUGACUCUCUCGCUUCAGCCUCCCAAAGUGCCGGGGUUACAGGCAUGAGCCACCAUGGCUAGCCUUGUUUUUAUAUUCAUAAUAUUAAUACAAACACACUUGUGCCUAUAGAGGAAUUCAUUUUGCAUCAGCCAACUUCUCCAUGAUGUGCAGGAGGCAUCAUGCCUACAAACCAUGAUAUUCUGAAGGACCAUGAAAAUGUUUCAAUUUUUUUAAUCAAGAGCAAUAAAUGAACUUACAGGU
rnacentral:lncRNA from 1 species